UCUCAUUUUCGAUCCUAUCAGAUCGUGCCUCAUAAAGCCUCCUCCUCGAUUGCUAGAUCUCCUCCUCAAUUGCGAAAUCUCCUCCGAUCAUAUUUCCAGAUUUAACACUGGUAUUAAUAAAUUAAAUUAAAUAUUUACUUUUUUGAGUUUUUACUAUGUUGACUAAUAUUUUUGUUUAAUUUUUUUAAUGGUGUUAGUAUUGAUGUUAGUGUCAAAAAAGUAUCAGAUCAAAGGAACGGUUGAGAUUGCAUAUUAACAUUUGGUUCACUUGAACCUUGGUGCAUAUAAGAAUUUUCGAACAAACAUAAAAAACAAAACAACUAAAGAUGGAUAAAGUGUUUAAAUGUGGUGUAGAGUAAGGAAUAAAGAUGCGAUGAUAAAGGAAUAAAGUGCUUUGGAUAUAUUUUAAAUUUAAAAAUAAUCAUGUUUGAUUUGAGAACGAGUAUUGAUCAAGUCUUUUUGUUUUUUUUUUUGAUGAAUGAGUGUUGAUCAAGUUGAUAAUUAUUUUGUUGUAAGGGAGGUUUUGAGUUCGGCUUCCUAAUGAGUAAUUGUUAUCGGGAGGGAGGGAACCAACGACUUUGCUAAGGGGAUAUCUCCAUGACAGUUCUCGAUGGAUGAAGGUUCGAGGGAGGUGGAGAGGAAGAGGGAAGUGAGAAAAGAAAGAGCAGAGAGGGAGCCGUGUUUGUAAAUAUUGAUCUAUCAUUGUAAAUUAAAUGUUAUUUUGUGUUUGCAAUUGGUCAAUAUUAUUAAUGAAAUGCAGAUUUUGUGAGGAUUAAUUGAAAAAUAUCAACAAGUUUGCUGAGAGAUUAUGUUAGAAUUUAUUAUUUGUGCUUGUUAAGAGAUUCAUAGUAUUGUGAGUAACAAUUCUCUUUUAAAAUUGAUAAACUACUAUCAAAACGAGAGAUUAGGCAAUCAUGAAAAAACUAAGAUUGAUGAAGGGCGCUUCAAAAAUUUUGAGCGCAUAAGAUGUGAAAUCUCGGCAUCUAGACUUGUUAGCCUGGGGGUCAAAACAUGUGGUUUAAUUCUUUCCAAUGAAAGGUUCCACAGAUACCAAGCGAAGAUCCGUCUUAGGCAUCUAGUACGUCAAAACUCAAAGGAACAGAAUGUUACAUUGCUCUUGCAUACAAAACCAAGCUGUUAUGAGACUCGAUAGAGGUCACAAACG
rnacentral:lncRNA from 1 species